GGCCAUUUCCCUCCUUUUCCAAGGUCCAUGGGCCAUUUCCCUGUCUCACCUCUGCUCUCCCUCACUCGCUCACUGUCGUCGACGGCGGCGGCGGCGGUGGACCAGUUUUGCUCUGGGAAGCAGCGGCCAUGGCCGCGUUGCGUCGUGCUGCACGCGGCGAUGGCGUCGGUCGACCGCCGAGGGUCGGGUCGAGCUACACCUCCCGCGGUGGCGUGGCGUAGGCUGCUUCCCGCGGCGAGCCGGCGACGACGUGAAACCCACUCCGCUCUCGGUUCUUGUUUUGGUUCCGCGGCUUCAGAUUUGCUGGAACUUUUGGAUCCAGAAGAACAAAGUUGAACUAAAAAUACCCCUCUUCUAGGAAAGCUUAUGAUUAUCUUACCUUGGAAGGUCGCAUCCAUGAGGCUGCCAUCUCCAGUGCUGGCAAAUUAACUCUGUGGAGAAUAGAUGACGAGGAGCAGCAUUCAGAAAAUCAUCUGCACGCAAUGAUGGAGGUGGAGAGUGGUACGUACAAUUGUUACUCAUCUUUAUGUAGCUUAUGAGACGAGGGAGCCUCAAUAUGAGUGGAUCCACAAACAGUAGCAAACAUCAGUGGUUAAUUUGGAUGGAUUAUUGGUACCUCAUAACUGUUAACCGAAUGCUUGCUGCUCCACAUGGUCCCCUACUUCCUGAAAGUCCAAGAAGAGUCGGUACAACUGCUAUGGUCAUUUGCAAGACUGCAAAGUGUGUGCUGGACUCUGUCUAAUAUACACCACAGCUCAUUUGUUUACUUCUAAUAUAGAGGUUAGCUAGACUGAUUACAUGUCACCAUGACGGUGGCUGGUGAUGAUGUUGUUGCCGUGUGAGGCGCGGGCAGAGCUCCAGCUUGCAGGCCAAAAUCAUCACCCCAGCGAGGGUCUAUGGGUUGUGAACCUCGACAUCUAAGCUGAGCGAUGGGCCAUAGCGGAGGUGCAGCAGCUCCUUGAAAUGGCGGCACGACGGAGUAUUUGAUCCUAGGAAGAAUGUUAUUGGCUCUCAAUGGUAAUUUGCAAAUAGCUAGCUUAAGAAGUCGCUAGCUAUUAGAAAGUCACUAGCUAUUGUGGAGAGUAUUGUGAGAGAGUUAUUUCUAGAAGAUUGUGCUAGAUUAGCAA